rnacentral:ncRNA from 2 species
GCGUCUUUCGCGGGAGAGACAGGUUCGCGCCCCUCGGGAUGCGGAAUGGCGCCGAAGGAGCAACCGCCCCGGAAACUCUCAGGCAAAUGGACCGCGACAGACAG